rnacentral:rRNA from 1 species
AUUGAACGCUGGCGGCAGGCUUAACACAUGCAAGUCGAGCGCCCCGCAAGGGGAGCGGCAGACGGGUGAGUAACGCGUGGGGAUCUACCCAUCUCUACGGAAUAACGCAUGGAAACGUGUGCUAAUACCGUAUACGUCCUUCGGGAGAAAGAUUUAUCGGAGAUGGAUGAGCCCGCGUUGGAUUAGCUAGUUGGUGGGGUAAAGGCCUACCAAGGCGACGAUCCAUAGCUGGUCUGAGAGGAUGAUCAGCCACACUGGGACUGAGACACGGCCCAGACUCCUACGGGAGGCAGCAGUGGGGAAUAUUGGACAAUGGGCGCAAGCCUGAUCCAGCCAUGCUGCGUGAGUGAUGAAGGCCCUAGGGUUGUAAAGCUCUUUCACCGGUGAAGAUAAUGACGGUAACCGGAGAAGAAGCCCCGUCUAACUUCGAGCCAGCCGCCGCCGUAAAAC